GAGCACAGGUUUACCUGUGUGACUGCGUACCUUUUGUAUAAUGGGUCAGCGACUUAUAUUCUGUAGCAAGGUUAACCGUAUAGGGGAGCCGUAGGGAAACCGAGUCUUAACCGGGCGUUAAGUUGCAGGGUAUAGACCCGAAACCCGGUGAUCUAGCCAUGGGCAGGUUGAAGGUUGGGUAACACUAACUGGAGGACCGAACCGACUAAUGUUGAAAAAUUAGCGGAUGACCUGUGGCUGGGGGUGAAAGGCCAAUCAAACCGGGAGAUAGCUGGUUCUCCCCGAAAGCUAUUUAGGUAGCGCCUCGUGAAUUCAUCUCCGGGGGUAGAGCACUGUUUCGGCUAGGGGGCCAUCCCGGCUUACCAACCCGAUGCAAACUGCGAAUACCGGAGAAUGUUAUCACGGGAGACACACGGCGGGUGCUAACGUCCGUCGUGAAGAGGGAAACAACCCAGACCGCCAGCUAAGGUCCCAAAGUCAUGGUUAAGUGGGAAACGAUGUGGGAAGGCCCAGACAGCCAGGAUGUUGGCUUAGAAGCAGCCAUCAUUUAAAGAAAGCGUAAUAGCUCACUGGUCGAGUCGGCCUGCGCGGAAGAUGUAACGGGGCUAAACCAU
rnacentral:rRNA from 1 species